CCUUGCAGGGGAUCGAAAAUUUUCCCCUGUUUUUUCAAGUUUUUGAAGAGCAAGGAUCCCAGUGAUGGCUCCGAACAGGAAUUGCUGAACGCUCUGACUGACUUGGAGGAGGAUCUCAAAGCCCAUGGGCCGUAUAUUCAUGGGGAUAAAAUUACUGCUGUUGAUGUAAGCUUGGCACCUAAACUGUACCAUAUGGAGGUUGCUCUUGGUCAUUUCAAAGGGUGGAGUGUCCCGGAACAUUUCACUCAUGU